UAUCAUUAACUGAAUCCAUAGGUUAAUGAGGCGAACCGGGGGAACUGAAACAUCUAAGUACCCCGAGGAAAAGAAAUCAACCGAGAUUCCCCCAGUAGCGGCGAGCGAACGGGGAGCAGCCCAGAGCCUGAAUCAGUGUGUGUGUUAGUGGAAGCGUCUGGAAAGGCGCGCGAUACAGGGUGACAGCCCCGUACACAAAAAUGCACAUAUUGUGAGCUCGAUGAGUAGGGCGGGACACGUGGUAUCCUGUCUGAAUAUGGGGGGACCAUCCUCCAAGGCUAAAUACUCCUGACUGACCGAUAGUGAACCAGUACCGUGAGGGAAAGGCGAAAAGAACCCCGGCGAGGGGAGUGAAAAAGAACCUGAAACCGUGUACGUACAAGCAGUGGGAGCACGCUUAGGCGUGUGACUGCGUACCUUUUGUAUAAUGGGUCAGCGACUUAUAUUCUGUAGCAAGGUUAACCGAAUAGGGGAGCCGAAGGGAAACCGAGUCUUAACUGGGCGUUAAGUUGCAGGGUAUAGACCCGAAACCCGGUGAUCUAGCCAUGGGCAGGUUGAAGGUUGGGUAACACUAACUGGAGGACCGAACCGACUAAUGUUGAAAAAUUAGCGGAUGACUUGUGGCUGGGGGUGAAAGGCCAAUCAAACCGGGAGAUAGCUGGUUCUCCCCGAAAGCUAUUUAGGUAGCGCCUCGUGAAUUCAUCUCCGGGGGUAGAGCACUGUUUCGGCAAGGGGGUCAUCCCGACUUACCAACCCGAUGCAAACUGCGAAUACCGGAGAAUGUUAUCACGGGAGACACACGGCGGGUGCUAACGUCCGUCGUGAAGAGGGAAACAACCCAGACCGCCAGCUAAGGUCCCAAAGUCAUGGUUAAGUGGGAAACGAUGUGGGAAGGCCCAGACAGCCAGGAUGUUGGCUUAGAAGCAGCCAUCAUUUAAAGAAAGCGUAAUAGCUCACUGGUCGAGUCGGCCUGCGCGGAAGAUGUAACGGGGCUAAACCAUGCACCGAAGCUGCGGCAGCGACGCUUAUGCGUUGUUGGGUAGGGGAGCGUUCUGUAAGCCUGUGAAGGUGUGCUGUGAGGCAUGCUGGAGGUAUCAGAAGUGCGAAUGCUGACAUAAGUAACGAUAAAGCGGGUGAAAAGCCCGCUCGCCGGAAGACCAAGGGUUCCUGUCCAACGUUAAUCGGGGCAGGGUGAGUCGACCCCUAAGGCGAGGCCGAAAGGCGUAGUCGAUGGGAAACAGGUUAAUAUUCCUGUACUUGGUGUUACUGCGAAGGGGGGACGGAGAAGGCUAUGUUGGCCGGGCGACGGUUGUCCCGGUUUAAGCGUGUAGGCUGGUUUUCCAGGCAAAUCCGGAAAAUCAAGGCUGAGGCGUGAUGACGAGGCACUACGGUGCUGAAGCAACAAAUGCCCUGCUUCCAGGAAAAGCCUCUAAGCAUCAGGUAACAUCAAAUCGUACCCCAAACCGACACAGGUGGUCAGGUAGAGAAUACCAAGGCGCUUGAGAGAACUCGGGUGAAGGAACUAGGCAAAAUGGUGCCGUAACUUCGGGAGAAGG
rnacentral:rRNA from 1 species